UUCAAAGGUAUGACCUGAAAAGGGAAUUUAGACAAUAU
rnacentral:snoRNA from 1 species